rnacentral:rRNA from 1 species
CAACUUUCAGCAAUGGAUCUCUCGGCUUUCGUAUCGAUGAAGAACGCAGCAAAUCGCGAUAUUUAAUGUGAUCUGCCUAUAGUGAAUCAUCAAAUCUUUGAACGCAUCUUGCACCCUAUGGUAUUCCGUAGGUACAUCUGUUUCAGUACCAUU